UACGAGAGGCCCAAACGUUAAUCGGAAUUACUGGGCGUAAAGCGUGCGUAGACGGUUAUAUAAGUCGGAUGUGAAGGCCCCGGGCUCAACCUGGGAAUUGCAUUCGAGACUGCAUAGCUAGGGUGCGGAAGAGGGAAGCGGAAUUUCGGGUGUAGCGGUGAAAUGCGUAGAUAUCCGAAGGAACAUCAGUGGCGAAAGCGGCUUCCUGGUCCAGCACCGACGUUCAGGCACGAAAGCGUGGGGAGCAAACAGG
rnacentral:rRNA from 1 species